UACGUAGGCAGCGAGCGUUGUUCGGAGUUACUGGGCGUAAAGAGUGCGUAGGCGGUGCUCUAAGUUUGGUGUGAAAUCUCCCGGCUCAACUGGGAGGGUGCGCCGAAAACUGGAGUGCUCGAGUAUGGGAGAGGCAAGCGGAAUUCCUGGUGUAGCGGUGAAAUGCGUAGAUAUCAGGAGGAACACCUGCGGUGUAGACGGCUUCCUGGCCUGUUCUUGACGCUGAGGCGCGAAAGCUAGGGUAGCAAACGGG
rnacentral:rRNA from 1 species